rnacentral:lncRNA from 1 species
GUACUUAGUGAAAGUGGGGAUCUUGAAUUUGCGAGGAAUAACCACACCAGAGACCAGACCUAAGCCUUCGAAAUCCAGGUCGGGCGCCCUCUGACCCUCCAUAGCUAGCAUGCGUUCUUCCAGCAACUUAUACUUAUCAUCUUUUGGAGAGUACUGUUCAUUCUCGUAAUCUUCAUCGUCGUCCUCAGGGUUGAAGAGAUCAACAUUCUCCUCUUCUGAAUCAUUCUCUGUUUCCUCUUCUUGAUCCUUCGGAAUCC